AACGAACGCUGGCGGCAGGCCUAACACAUGCAAGUCGAACGCCCCGCAAGGGGAGCGGCAGACGGGUGACUAACGCGUGGGACCCUACCGUUUCCUGUGGAAUAGCUCUGGGAAACUGGAAUUAAUACCGCAUACGCCCUACGGGGGAAAUAUUUAUCGGGGAAGGAUUGGCCCGCGUUGGAUUAGCUAGUUGGUGGGGUAAAGGCCUACCAAGGCGACGAUCCAUAGCUGGUCUGAGAGGAUGAUCAGCCACAUUGGGACUGAGACACGGCCCAAACUCCUACGGGAGGCAGCAGUGGGGAAUAUUGGACAAUGGGCGCAAGCCUGAUCCAGCCAUGCCGCGUGAGUGAUGAAGGCCUUAGGGUUGUAAAGCUCUUUCACCGAUGAAGAUAAUGACGAUAGUCGGAGAAGAAGCCCCGGCUAACUUCGUGCCAGCCGCCGCCGUAAGAC
rnacentral:rRNA from 1 species